GAUGAACGCUGGCGGCGUGCCUAACACAUGCAAGUCGAACGGAAAGGCUCCUGCUUGCAGGGGUACUCGAGUGGCGAACGGGUGAGUAACACGUGGGUGAUCUGCCCUGCACUUCGGGUUAAGCCUGGGAAACUGGGUCUAAUACCGGAUAGGACGAUGGUUUGGAUGCCAUUGUGGAAAGUUUUUUCGGUGUGGGAUGAGCUCGCGGCCUAUCAGCUUGUUGGUGGGGUAAUGGCCUACCAAGGCGUCGACGGGUAGCCGGCCUGAGAGGGUGUACGGCCACAUUGGGACUGAGAUACGGCCCAGACUCCUACGGGAGGCAGCAGUGGGGAAUAUUGCACAAUGGGCGCAAGCCUGAUGCAGCGACGCCGCGUGGGGGAUGACGGCCUUCGGGUUGUAAACUCCUUUCGCUAGGGACGAAGCGCAAGUGACGGUACCUGGAGAAGAAGCACCGGCUAACUACGUG
rnacentral:rRNA from 1 species